ACUUGCAGCAAGAGAGGGCUGAGCAAAAUGCAGUAGAACAGGCACAGAGACAGAGCUGGCAAUCAUCUCAGUGCAGGCUGCUGAAUGUAAGGGGUGGGGGGGAUGCAGCACAGCAAGAUUAAUAACCUUGUUCUAAUCCUAUGUACCCUGGAAGGAGAUACGUUUGGUGACUGAGCUGUUCUUGUCUUAAUUGAUUAGGCUGGGUGAAUGAGUGGCUGGCAAGGCACAUUGCUGAAAGGAGACCCCCCUGAUUUUGCUGCUCUCUGAAGCCUCUACCCAUCUGGCAAGGUAGUGAGACGUACCAUCUGCAGCACACACAGCAGCUACUACCGACAGUUUGCACUACAGGUUUGAUGGUGAGCAAGAAGCCAGGUAUAUUGUGCACUGGGAUAUUUCUGUGCUCAAGCUACUGAAUUUCACAGUCUGAUCCUUCUGCAGCCCCCUUUCCAAUUGCCUGUGAGUUCUGGGAUCUACUUUUGGCAUCGUCUCUUUGGAGGUUUUUUGCUGGGAAUGGAAGAUCGGUAAAUGGAACCUCUGAAAACAAAUUUGGUUUGCCUCUGCCUGACUCGAGCACGAGGGAAGCAAAAGCAUCAAAACCUCCUGAAGGGAUUUAAAUUUCUUUUGAAGAAGUUUACAGAGGGACCGGACAAAAGGGCUGAAGCUAGAAGCAACAGAAUGCUAAAUGAACAUAAGUAAAAAUAGAUACUGAAAUGAUGAUGCUAAGACAGAAUGGUUAAGCUUUUCCCAACAACUCCACAAGCACUGACUAACCACAGCUGAGCCUCAUCUUUAUUGAAAUGCCUGAAAUUUGACACAAUAUUCUGUGU